GCUCCAGGAAUAACACUGGGAGCAGCGCCAGUAGGUAGGGUCGGAGGAACUGAAACAAGUAUUGCAUCAUGCCUGUUAAUACAAGGAUUACACAGCUACAGUUUGCUCACUGUUAACACAACAAUGGUACAUCGGCCUCGACAUUUCGUCAGAAACAAGCAACCUUACCAAAGAAUUUAUCCCAUGGCUUACAUUCAAAUUGAUAAAGAGCUCAUAUGAUGCUUGAUCCAUUGAAAGUCUAAAAUCUACGCAUUACAAGUGCGGGUUCGCACCUGUUUGUCCUAUAGUGACGAAGCCUCCUGCUGCUGAAGGCCGAUCUCUGCUGUAGAGGAGCACCGUUGGAUAAUUUGUUGAAAUAUAGAGGUUCUUUGGUUGAAUUUAAUGUGGGAUUAUUGGACAAGGCUCUGGAUCACCAGUAAGAACAGCUCCCCUACAAUUUAAUCGUAACACUUCUGAGAAUUCUCGCCAAGAUAAUAAAUGGAGCAAACCGCACCUCAGUAGAAUAGUCACAUUACUACAAUUAAAUGAACUGGUCUUUCAAUAGAUUAACUUGUAGAGGACUAGGAAGUCACCAACUGUACACCACUUCUUCAUGUUCUACAUUGUGAAGACAGAAUGACCUGCUCACAAAAAUUUCAAUUUGCUGGAGCUGCUAAAAAAUUGCGGGAUCACGCCUGUCAAGCCGCAUCCUGAUAGAUUC
rnacentral:lncRNA from 1 species